UAGCCUAGUGGUUAAGGCUAUGGAUCGCCAAUCCGGAGACGACGGGUUCGAAUCCCGU
rnacentral:tRNA from 1 species